GUAUUUAUUGUAUAGGCGAUGAAGCCCAUUGAUUUUCGUUCAUGCAUUAUACAAAGGGGUGAAUUAAAAAACAUAGGCUGGAAAUGUAAGGAGAGCCGGCUUCGGUGGCACGGCAAACCUCUGACCGAGUUUUCCUCAAAAGUUAUCCAAGCCUACAGAACGUGCACAGGUGGAAAGGAAAAGAUGAAGGGUGUGCACGUUGCUCCUGGAAGCCAGCGACAACCCCCCAAGUUUAUUCAAUAAUGAUCCUUCCGCAGGUUCACCUACGGAAA
rnacentral:misc_RNA from 1 species